UCCGAGUUGUAAUCUGGAGAAGCGUUUUCCGYGUUGGACCGUGUACAAGUCUCUUGGAACAGAGCGUCAUAGAGGGUGAGAAUCCCGUCUUUGACACGGACUACCAAUGCUUUGUGAUACGCUCUCAAAGAGUCGAGUUGUUUGGGAAUGCAGCUCAAAAUGGGUGGUAAAUUCCAUCUAAAGCUAAAUAUUGGCGAGAGACCGAUAGCGAACAAGUACCGUGAGGGAAAGAUGAAAAGCACUUUGGAAAGAGAGUUAAACAGUACGUGAAAUUGUUGAAAGGGAAACGCUUGAAGUCAGUCGCGUUGUCCGGGACUCAGCCUUGCUUCUGCUUGGUGUACUUCCUGGUUGACGGGCCAACAUCGAUUUUGAUCGGCGGAUAAAGGUAGAGGGAAUGUGGCACCUUCGGGUGUGUUAUAGCCCUCUAUCGGAUGCGUCGGUUGGGAUCGAGGACCGCAGCACGCCUUUUUGGCCGGGGUUCGCCCACGUAACGUGCUUAGGAUGUUGGCAUAAUGGCUUUAAGCGACCCGUCUUGAAACACGGACCAAGGAGUCUAACAUGCCCGCGAGUGUUAGGGUGGUAAACCCUUGCGCGUAAUGAAAGUGAAAGUUGGGACCUCUGUCAUGGAGGGCACCGACGCCCGGCCUUGAACUUCUGUGACGGUGCCGCGGUAGAGCGUGUAUGUUGGGACCCGAAAGAUGGUGAACUAUGCCUGAAUAGGGCGAAGCCAGAGGAAACUCUGGUGGAGGCUCGUAGCGAUUCUGACGUGCAAAUCGAUCGUCAAAUA
rnacentral:rRNA from 1 species